UUUAAUAUAUGCUAAUUGAUGUUGUAUAUUAUAGUGAUUUUUCAGAUAAUAAGAUCGUCAAGUGCAUAUCAUAGCUGUGUUUACAGAAUUGGCCUACACCUGUGAUUACGUGGGCGAGCACACCUAUCGCCCACAAGGAUGUUGUUUGGGCAGAAUUUCAGGUAUGUUUUUUUUAAUUAUGACAGAUAAUAUUAAUAUAAUUAAUAUUCAAAGGAUAAUUAUUUAGUAAUGUUAUUAUUGUUGUUUUAUUUGUAGAAACGGUAUAGAUGGGAGGACGCGCAGGCUUCAGUGAUACAGACAUUAUUCUGGCAGAAGUGCGCGGUCCGCACCAAAGACAAUUUGAAUAAAGAAAGACAAAAAGCCCUUCACAAUGCCGAGAUCGACCAUCCAGGCCAGGGAGAAGAU
rnacentral:lncRNA from 1 species